UGUUAAAUUUUUCAUCCAUUUGUACUUUUAAAAAUUGGUGUGAUUGAUAGAAUAACCAAACAGUGACAUGUGAUGUACCUUGUGUACCUCAUGCUAAUGUACAAGGACCAGUUUUUAACAGCAGAAAUGGAUGAAAUUUUUAAUA
rfam:Gossypium hirsutum cultivar TM-1 unplaced genomic scaffold scaffold2538.1, whole genome shotgun sequence